AUCUCGGAAGCUAAGCAGGGUUGGGCCUGGUUAGUACUUGGAUGGGAGAAAUAGACGUACCCUAUGAUCCUGCAAUUCCUCUCCUGG
rnacentral:miRNA from 1 species